AUUGAACGCUGGCGGCAGGCCUAACACAUGCAAGUCGAACGAGCGGCGGACGGGUGAGUAAUGUCUGGGGAACUGCCCGAUGGAGGGGGAUAACUACUGGAAACAGUAGCUAAUACCGCAUACUAUCGGAUGUGCCCAGAUGGGAUUAGCUAGUAGGUGGGGUAACGGCUCACCUAGGCGACGAUCCCUAGCUGGUCUGAGAGGAUGACCAGCCACACUGGAACUGAGACACGGUCCAGACUCCUACGGGAGGCAGCAGUGGGGAAUAUUGCACAAUGGGCGCAAGCCUGAUGCAGCCAUGCCGCGUGUAUGAAGAAGGCCUUCGGGUUGUAAAGUACUUUCAGCGAGGAGGCGUUACCCGCAGAUGAAGCACCGGCUAACUCCGUGCCAGCAGCCGCGGUAAUAC
rnacentral:rRNA from 1 species